rnacentral:rRNA from 1 species
CGGGGUGAGUAAUGUAUGGGGAUCUGCCUGAUGGCGGGGGAUAACUACUGGAAACGGUAGCUAAUACCGCAUAAUGUCUACGGACCAAAGCGGGGGGACCUCCGGGCCUCGCGCCAUCAGAUGAACCCAUAUGGGAUUAGCUAGUAGGUGAGGUAACGGCUUACCUAGGCGACGAUCCCUAGCUGGUCUGAGAGGAUGAUCAGCCACACUGGGACUGAGACACGGCCCAG